AUUAAAUGUUCUUACAUAUGAAAGAAUAGAAUUAUUCUAUCAUGCUAUAAAAUUAUAAUUUUAAUGUGAUUCCCACCCACAAAAGUCUACAGAUUUAAUUAUUUUCUGGAGGUAAAGAAGUCCAUAUGCUCAAUGAGUAAGCUGUUUUCUGUUACCAUAGCUGUGUACCUCAGACUGGGUAAUUUGUAAUGAAUAAAGGUUUAUUCAGCCUGGGGUUCUGGAGGUCCAAGGUCGAGGGCUCCCACUUGGUGAGGGAACCACCAUCUUCCUGGUGGGGCUACUCUGCACAGUCCCAAGGCAGAGGUGCAUACAGAAAAUGGGCCAACUGGCUUUUCUGAGAGUUCCACUGUACAGAUGACUCAGUAAGCCAUUAAUCUAUGGCUGAAUUACUCCACUCAUGACCUAACCGUCACUUAAAAGACUACAACACUACCAAGUAUAUAAUAUUUCAUAAAGGAAAUUAAAUUUCAAUUUGAGUUGUGAUGUGGAUGUUGAAACCAUAGUAGUUUGUAAAAAAAAAAAGUAAAUGUAGCCAGUGAAACCCUGAAAUAUGAAGUCACUGUGGUCCAGCUAGCUCUAAAAUAUAAACCCUUUAUGAUGAAAAGAUUAUAAUGGUGUUGGUGCACCUCCCAUGACCGCGGCAUCCUCCCGUGGGCAGGUCGAGGGGUGAGCAGGCCUCACCUUCCCGCCAAGCCUGCCCUAAGCGUCCCUCGUGCUGAGCAGCAGGAGUGUGCGGUGCAGCAGGGGCAGCCCGCUCGGGACCCCUCCUGUCUCUCGGGAGCUACUCCUAUUCUCCAUUCCUAUUCCCCAAUAAACCUUUCCUACGCUUAAAAAAAAAUGUAUUUUCAGUUUUUUAAUUUAGUGACACUACUUCAAUUAAAUUGUUUUUGUUUUGUUUUGUUUUGUUUUUGAGACAGAAUCUCAUUCUGUAAUUCUGGCUGGCCUUGAACUCACUAUGUAGUCCCUGCUGGCUUUGAAUUCACAGUGAUUUUCCUGCCUCAGCCUCCUGAAUGCUGAGAUUACAGGAGUGUGCCACCACUCUUGGUUUAAGCUUCUUGUUUACCAGUAACCACAGGAUUUGUGUCUAACUUUCAAUGCCAGUGAGUGAUGACUGUCACAGUGCAGUUAAAUGGCCUUCUUGCUGUUCAGUUGUUACAGGCCUAAGAUUGUUAGAGCAUCUUUGAAUGUCUCAUCUUUUUAAUUUUUUAAUUUUUUUUUUUGGUACCAGGGAUCGAACUCGGGUCCUUGCGCUUGCACACAGUUGGUGAAACCACUGAGCUAAAUCCCUGACCCGUUUCAUCUUUUUUAGAUUGUCAAUAAGUACAGUUUGUCAAAUAACUUUUGAG
rnacentral:lncRNA from 1 species